rfam:Marine metagenome 1092404083134, whole genome shotgun sequence.
GAUAUCCAAGAAUAAUUCGAGGGUCUAAUGUUGGGUUGAUUAAUCUAACUUCACCUCCACCAGGUGCCCAUGUAUCAUAAGCACCACCUAUGAAACACCAGUUUACAGACCAAGCAAGUGCUCCAACACCAAGGACAAUAAGAUGAUAUCCGAGAAUGUUAGUCAUCUGAUUUUUAUCUCUCCA